UGGGGAAUCUUGCACAAUGGGGGCAACCCUGAUGCAGCGACGCCGCGUGAGCGAUGAAGCCCUUCGGGGCGUAAAGCUCUUUCGACCGGAACGAUAAUGACGGUACCGGGAGAAGAAGCUGCGGCUAACUACGUGCCAGCAGCCGCGGUAAUACGUAGGCAGCAAGCGUUGUUCGGAGUUACUGGGCGUAAAGAGUGCGUAGGCGGUUUUCUAAGUUCGGUGUGAAAUCUCCCGGCUUAACUGGGAGGGUUGGCCGAAGACUGGGAAGCUGGAGUGUGGGAAAGGCAGGCGGAAUUCCUGGUGUAGGGGUGAAAUGAGUAGAUAUCAGGAGGAACACCGGCGGUGUAGACGGCUUGCUAGACCAUAACUGACGCUGAGGCACGAAAGCGUGGGUAGCAAACA
rnacentral:rRNA from 1 species